rnacentral:rRNA from 1 species
UACGUAGGUGGCAAGCGUUGUCCGGAAUUACUGGGUGUAAAGCGCGUGUAGGCGGUAGGCCAAGUCGGUGGUGAAAUCGCCCGGCUCAACUGGGCGGGGUCCAUGGAAACUGGUCAACUGGAGGACGGUAGAGGCGAGUGGAAUUCCCGGUGUAGUGGUGAAAUGCGUAGAGAUCGGGAGGAACACCUGUGGCGAAGGCGGCUCGCUGGGCCGGUCCUGACGCUGAGACGCGAAGGCGUGGGGGAGCGAACGGGG